rnacentral:tRNA from 1 species
UCCGUGGUGGUCCAAUGGCUAAGACUCUGUGCUCCUAAUGCAGGGGGCCUGAGUUCCAUUCCCAGUCAGGGAA